rnacentral:rRNA from 1 species
GACGAACCGUGCGAACGUUGUUCGGAAUCACUGGGCUUAAAGGGCGCGUAGGCGGGUUGGCAAGUCUGCGGUGAAAGCCCCAGCCUUAACUGGGGAAGUGGACCGUGGAUACUGCCGGUCUCGGAGGAGGGUGAGGGGGCAGUCUGGAACACUGGGUGGAGCGGUGAAAUGCGUUGAUAUCCAGUGGAACUCCGGUGGCGAAGGCGAGGUGCUGGACCCUUUCUGACGCUGAGGCGCGAAAGCCAGGGGAGCGAACGGG